CCAGUUGUCAGACCGGCUCCACCCUCUGGAGGUCCACAGUCACCCAUCAGAUGGCCACAAGGCGGGCAGGGACCAGCCUCAGGACCUGGCAGUGGGUCUGCCGUCAGUGCUGAAUCAAAUGAAAGCGGCGACGAGUCGACAGGAAGUGCUGAAUCAGAUGAAAGUGUCGACGCGUCGGUAGAAGGGGGCAGUCGAGGAGGUCUCUCAGGCCACGGAGGACUUGUGGGAAUUGCUCAGUCAUUAGUAUAAACUGGUCGACAAUCGACAAUUGUGAAUGAUGUGUGUGGCAUGCUUUUACAGCCUUAAGGCGUUUAAUAUAAAUUAUUGAAAUAUAUUAUUAGUAUAAGAUUUUACCUCUAGUCAAUAAAUCCAUAGACUGCUUUUUUUAUUUUCAUCCUUUUUUGUUUCUUGUACUUGUUAACUGCAUUCUAUUCUCGCCAUCUUCAUUUUUAUGCUUGUGUACUUAUCUGCCAUUGGCUCAGAUUAGUUUAGGAAAGAGUCACGCUCUCGUUAACAUUGAAGUGUCUCUGCUUGACAAACUGUCGAGCAUUAGGCUGCCUGACUGUUAGUGUCACGCUGUCUCACCGCCGAUGUUUCAAUAAACAAAUAACUGUCAUGUUUUGUGACUGACGGGUCAAGUGUCAUUUUGCAGCCUCCAGACCUCAGCAGCCGACGUCAUCUCAGAAACGUAGCAGCUCGGAGAGACACUGAAGGUAACAAACGUGAAUCACAUACAACAGCCGCCUGGUGAGGAUCAUUUGACACACCUAACUUGAGAUAUCGACUACAUCACACGAUCUCUUCCUUAACAUUAAAGGUCCAAAUGGAAAGUAAACAGCAGAUUUCCGUCUGGCUAUUAAACUAAUUGAAACUACAAAUGGCGGGAGUCUGGCAGUCCUGUCCAUGUCAGCUUUACAAUGGUACAACGUUUACCUUGUGUACUGAUCGGUGACUUUUAAAUUUGGAAGUAUGGUCUAAUAAACAUGUGCAUUUCA